CUGAAACAAGGGAGGUGGCCCUGGUGAGACCACCCCUGGUAUGGCUGCCACAUUCUCAGAGGGAGGCCACCAAGAAGAGCAAGACUGGAGGAAGAUGGGCAGGACGGUGGAGCUUUCCGGAACCAUGAUGUACUAGGAGGUCUAGGGUUUUGGUGUGCAGAGGGAAGCCAGAAUACACUUCACGAACAUGAAGCGAUGUCCCAUGACAAAGCGAGUUGACUUCUGCCACGUGGACCUGGAGGAUGGCUGGAGCCAUGAGGUGGUGGAUUGCUACCCAGGGCGAGGAGGAAUUCUGUGACAGCAAAAGUUACCAGAACAUGGAGAGAUAGACUACCUGGUUAGGAGCAGUGGGGUGGGGAGCCCGCUUAUCAGGGGCGGUGACUGGGGACCGAGUCAUGACUUGGGUGACGCAUUUCAUUUAUGGGAUAUAGAUGGUGGGGAGGGGGAGGGAGAAGGCGGGCAGAGGAUGGGGGAGGCCUGGAAUCCCAGGAUUCAUCCCUGUCACUGGGUGCUGCCAGCCAAAGAAUGGCAUGCUGCCUGGACUCUUGAGUUUAGACUAUUUAUGCAAAUGCAUUGUUCUUUUCAGUGCUUGGAACUCCCAGAGGUAAGUUACCUGCUGAGGCAAUUGUGGAUUAAUCUGAGGCAAUCAGCUAUCUCUAAGUCCACCCAAGCCCGCAUUUGGAUCAGAUAGGAUGAUUCAUAGCAAUCUGAAGUCAACUUUGAAAGCUGGGUUCUUCCCGGAACACCGGCCGGUGCCCUUGAUGACGGAUCAGACACAGGGCUGGGCUCUGCCUGGGAUUGGCGCGGCUGUGUGGCGAGGUUGCUUUUUGUGCCCUAAGAACUUUGGGAGGAGGGACGGGAGCCCUGUGGCUGCUUCCUGGUCCCGGGUCUGAAAACCACUUAAUUUAACACAGUUGGCAACUCCUCCACCCAAGUUGCCUUGGGCUUCCUUCCACAGGCAAAGCGUGCGGCCAGUGAGGUGGACGGCCUUGCUCAUACUGGAGCUGGUCCAUGGCAUUCGCGAGACUUGAAAAGCAUUUUCAAGGGCUGUAUCUCAUUUGGAUCCUCCCGACAGCCCUGUGAAUGUGAGGAGGGCAAGUAUUUCCCAGGAGCGGCAGGUGAGGAAACUGAGGUCCAGAGCGAUUUUCCAAGGUAACAUGGAUAAUGAGGGGGGACUAGAAAUCGUGUCCUCCAGCUCCAAAUCUAGUGUCUUUCUAAAGCAAGACCAUAGAGUAGUUGGCUUUUCCAAACCUGGAAAUAAAUGCAAAGAGGUUUAUUAUUUGUCUUCCCAUCUCUUGCACAUGGUUGGUUGGUUGUUGGUUGUGGACAAACAGUCCAGAUGUGCUGUCUGGGGGUGUGCGCAGGUCACCCCAUGCAGGGUAUAGGACCCAGCACUGGUGUGGCCCUUCACGUGCUCCAGGAAGACCCUUCCCUAGAGGUUGCCUCAUGUGGAGGUAUCCUGGGUCAUGUGUCAGCGUUCCACUCCUUUCUGGGCCAAGCUGUGUGAGCCCUUGAGGAGACAGAGAAAUCUGUGUUGAAGCCGUGGAAUGAUCCGAUCCAAUUCUCCUAGAGGACAGGGAGAUAUCCAAGCUCGGCAAAUGGAGGAGAGUGAUUUGGUACUAAAAGCACUUGUGAAGAGUGGAAUAGACCUUUAAAACAAUACAAACGUGAGUUUUAACUGUAAGUGACCCAGCACAAAAGACAAGAGCAGAGACCCUGGACGGGGGUGCCGGCGGCCUGAAGGGCUUCGCCUAAGCACCCUGCCACCCCCUCCUGCAGAUCUGACAGGACAGGAAGAGGCUGCAGGAACAAGUCUCAUCAGGCUGCAGGGGGCCCUUCCCAGACACUGCUGGCAUCCUGGACCCGAUGCUACCUCCUUGCUCACAUGUGAGCAAUUUAUCUCAGGUCUUGUUUUGGCUUAGAAAUCCUUUAAUCUCCCAGGAUUGUUUUAAUGGAUCGGCCUCUAUUUUUAUUCCUGGAUGGAAGAGUGCAUCGGAGACUCAGCCGAGUCCACUGGACGUGUGGAGACCUGUCCCCGGGAGCACUGAAUUCCUCGCAGCUUCCAGCAAGUUAAGGACAGAGCCCAGAGACUGAAAUGAAAACACCAACAGGAGGAGGCCUGCUCUCAACCACCAAGUUUGGGGCAUAGUAGGCAUUCGGCAAAUAUUUGCUAAAAACAAACAUUGAGGGGUCCUAUGAAUUCCGAGCAGUUUCUGCCCCUGCUGCACAGCGUGGGGAACGCGUGGCCAUGGCAGCCAGCAGGUCGGUUUCUGAAUUGAGGAGCCUGAUGCCUAUAAUUUUCCCAAAGCAAAAUAUUUGUGGGUAUGGCUCCAAGCCAUGGAAUUUCUAGACUUCGUGCCUUCCUUUUCUAUCCAUGGAAACUUUGCUUUUCUUUCCUAUACGUGGUCACUUCGUUUACCCUCCUCGGUUUCUCUAAGGGGAGCCUUGGGGCAUGUGGACAUUACAUUGAGCCUGUGCGUC